GAUGAACGCUGGCGGCGUGCCUAAUACAUGCAAGUAGAACGCUGAAGGAGGAGCUUGCUCUUCUGGAUGAGUUGCGAACGGGUGAGUAACGCGUAGGUAACCUGCCUGGUAGCGGGGGAUAACUAUUGGAAACGAUAGCUAAUACCGCAUGACAACAGUUAUUGCAUGAUAACUGUUUAAAAGGGGCAACUGCUCCACUACCAGAUGGACCUGCGUUGUAUUAGCUAGUUGGUGAGGUAACGGCUCACCAAGGCGACGAUACAUAGCCGACCUGAGAGGGGGAUCGGCCACACUGGGACUGAGACACGGCCCAGACUCCUACGGGAGGCAGCAGUAGGGAAUCUUCGGCAAUUGACGGAAGUCUGACCGAGCAACGCCGCGUGAGUGAAGAAGGUUUUCGGAUCGUAAAGCUCUGUUGUAAGAGAAGAACGAGUGUGAGAGUGGAAAGUUCACACUGUGACGGUAACUUACCAGAAAGGGACGGCUAACUACGUG
rnacentral:rRNA from 1 species